rnacentral:lncRNA from 1 species
UGCCAGUCUAAAACGUCACCAGACCACAAGAGUAACAUCACAGCCUUCGAAGAAAGGCCACAAGCUGUCUUUCUGCCCUCUAACUGAACAUGCAUGAAAAGUCAAUAAACCCUACUUUUUAAUUUUUAAAUUUUUAUUUCUAUUUUUUCCUUCCAUUUGCCUAUUUAUUUGUCCCUCACCUCCAGUUUCCUCACAUCAAUAAGAUACUUGGGUUUCCUUCCAGGGGAUAGUUUUGCUUUCCAAGUGGGUUUUCUUUGGAGAAUUUAAUUCUAUAAUAUUGGUACAAGUUAGACACCUCCCAUGCCACUGUCCCUGGCAUCCUUGGGGCUUACAUGGGACAAGAAACAUUGGCUCAUAAUAGUAAGAGAAGAAGAACUCAGUCUCUUUGGUUCCUUUUGAGAAAGCACAUGUUCUACCUGGAAGCUCAACUGCCGUCCUCCAGCAUGGUAGAUCUACCCCGAGCUUCAUCUCGGACUGGGAGGAAAACCAAAAUACUGGAAACACCUGCCUGUCUUAUGGCCUGUUAGGGCCCUCACUGCACUAUUUGGAUGGUAGCCACUUUGCCUGACUGAAUCAAGAUUCCCUAGCUAGCCCUUAUUAUUUGUUUUUGACAGAUGAAUAGUCACUUAUAGGAGAUGGAGCAACCGUGUGACCUGCUUCAGAUCAGAAUAAAAGGCUCAAAGAGUUUGACUUGGUGGCCAAUAUCUGCCUUCCAAAGAGAUCUACGUCUUGCAGAAGUUGCCCUCUUCCUAACCCACACUCCUUCAUUUGACAAGUACUUACUGAGUAUUUAACCGAGUACCAGUCACUACGUUUUUAAAAAAGACAAGACUUGGUCCUUAAGUUCAAGGUCUAGGAGGCAAUGUUAAUCUCCUUUAAGUAACCAUCCCUUUAUUAUCUGGACCUUGAAAAUCAUCUGAGAGAUGCAGGUGAAGGCCAAGGAGUCAAUUAAAAGAAGCCUUUGGUUAGAUCUCCAAUAUGUUGUAGGCAGAAGGUUGGGGAUCAGUUUAAAUGAAGCCUGAAGAACUGUGGAAUCUUGCUUGUCUUGAGUGGGAAAAUCUACUUCUGUCAUUUCUGGAAACCAGUGGAACCAAAUUCCAGGUUGAGCUGCCUCAUGGGCUAAUGUGUUAGCGCUCUGCAGUGCAGGGAUAUAUACUAUACGUCUGGACCUGAGAAUACGCUCUUCAGGUUCCUUAGUAGCACACGACGUACCAGAAUCUAUACCAAGAUUCUUUAGGCAAACUAACCUGGGCCAUUGUUCCACCCAACCAAGGAAUUACGUGCCCCUGACUCUUAAUAGUCUAUUUUCAUUUAGAUCCUCAAGAAGGUCUAGCUUGUCCCUUUUGUACCCAUCCACCCCCGGCAAAAGCUUCUAUAUUCACCUGGUAGCCCCAGGGAUGACAGGGUCCUCUAUUCUGGAGACUGUUAUUGCUACUGCUGCUAAUUCCACGAGCUGUGAAGAUCCCCAACUCAGCUGCAAAAUAUGCAAUUCUGUGGUGGGAAGAGGCUGACUGUCCGAGGAUGGUGCUGAAAUCACUGCCUUAAGGUCUUUGCUGUGCAGAAUGAGAAGGCCCCCCCAGAGCUGGGUGUUCCAACUUAGAAGGAAGGGAAGACUGGAUAGGCCUACUUUGGACAUAGGUCUCUUCUGAACCCUAUCCAAAGCUCCAGUACAUGGCAAGGCUCAGACUUUUGCUAACAUCCUAACGCUUGAGCCUUUCACCCUCUUUUUCUGGUGCUGCCCAGCCAGUGCCUUCUGACACGGAUGUUACUGGCUACUUAAGAAGAAGGAAAGUAGGAAAUGCCUUCUUCCAUUCCAACUGCCUCAGACUACAGAGAGAGUGUCUCUGUGGUAACUAUGGAUACCAUCGAGAAUUUUAUUUGGGUCUGCAGCAAGUUGAUUCUGGAGGCCUCGCAUACUUUGACUUCAUUUCUAUUCCUGGGAUCCACCACCCUCUUCUCUCAGUUGACUGCUGCAUUUAGUUCAGGCCUCAAAUAGCUGUCCUCCAGGAAGUGCGUUCCCAUCUAGUGAAGUGCUCUCGAAGCCUACACUUUCCUUCUGGAGCCUGGGACCCUGUUUACAGUUGCACAUCUGGGCCCCUCACAGUAGGAUCAACCAUCUC